CUAGCGGCAGGCUUAACACAUGCAAGUCGAGGGGCAGCGGGGAGGAAGCUUGCUUUCUCCGCCGGCGACCGGCGCACGGGUGAGUAACACGUGUGCAACCUGCCCCUGUCAGGGGGACAACCCGCCGAAAGGCGGGCUAAACCCGCGUACAUGCCACCGGGGCAUCCCGGAGGCAGGAAAGGCUUCGGCCGGACAGGGAUGGGCAUGCGGCGCAUUAGGCAGUAGGCGGGGUAACGGCCCACCUAACCGACGAUGCGUAGGGGUUCUGAGAGGAAGGUCCCCCACACUGGUACUGAGACACGGACCAGACUCCUACGGGAGGCAGCAGUGAGGAAUAUUGGUCAAUGGUCGGGAGACUGAACCAGCCAAGCCGCGUGAGGGAGGAAGGUACAGAGUAUCGUAAACCUCUUUUGUCAGGGAACAAAGACUGGGACGCGUCCCCGGAUGAGUGUACCUGAAGAAAAAGCAUCGGCUAACUCCGUGCCAGCAGCCGCGGUAAUACGGAGGAUGCGAGCGUUAUCCGGAUUUAUUGGGUUUAAAGGGUGCGCAGGCGGUCUGUUAAGUCAGCGGUCAAAGCCCGGGGCUCAACCCCGGCCCGCCGUUGAAACUGGCAGUCUCGAGUUGGAGAGAAGUAUGCGGAAUGCGCGGUGUAGCGGUGAAAUGCAUAGAUAUCGCGCAGAACUCCGAUUGCGAAGGCAGCAUGCCGGCUCCACACUGACGCUGAGGCACGAAAGCGUGGGUAUCGAACAGGAUUAGAUACCCUGGUAGUCCACGCAGUAAACGAUGAAUGCUGGCUGUCCGGGGGGACUGACCCCUGGGUGGCGAAGCGAAAGCGAUAAGCAUUCCACCUGGGGAGUACGCCGGCAACGGUGAAACUCAAAGGAAUUGACGGGGGCCCGCACAAGCGGAGGAACAUGUGGUUUAAUUCGAUGAUACGCGAGGAACCUUACCCGGGCUCAAACGGGGAGUGCCGCAGGCAGAGACGCCUGUUUCCCACGGGACACUCCCCGAGGUGCUGCAUGGUUGUCGUCAGCUCGUGCCGUGAGGUGUCGGCUUAAGUGCCAUAACGAGCGCAACCCCCGCGUGCAGUUGCUAACAGAUAACGCUGAGGACUCUGCACGGACUGCCGGCGCAAGCCGCGAGGAAGGCGGGGAUGACGUCAAAUCAGCACGGCCCUUACGUCCGGGGCGACACACGUGUUACAAUGGGUGGUACAGCGGGAAGCCAGGCGGCGACACCGAGCGGAACCCGAAAUCCACUCUCAGUUCGGAUCGGAGUCUGCAACCCGACUCCGUGAAGCUGGAUUCGCUAGUAAUCGCGCAUCAGCCAUGGCGCGGUGAAUACGUUCCCGGGCCUU
rnacentral:rRNA from 1 species